rnacentral:tRNA from 1 species
GGUCAGAUGGCCGAGCGGUCUAAGGCGCUAGCUUCAGGUCGAAAUCUCGCUUCUUCCCAGUCUUUCGGGUUCUGGGUCCAGAUGAUGAGCUCAUAUCGGGAUGCUAGUCACGCAAGUGGCGUGGGUUCGAAUCCCACUCUGAUCA